rnacentral:rRNA from 1 species
AACCGGGUGAACUGAAACAUCUCAGUAGCUCGAGGAAAAGACAUCAACCGAGAUUCCGAAAGUAGUGGCGAGCGAAAUCGGAGUAGCCCUCGCGUUUUAGCAGUUUGUAUAUCAGAACGGAAUGGAAAGUCCGGCCACAGCGGGUGAUAGCCCCGUAUGAGAAAUGCAGAUUGUGGAACUAGGCGCGAAUAGAGUAGGGCGGGACACGUGAAAUCCUGUCUGAAUAUGGGGGG